GAACUUAAGCAUAUCAAUAAGCGGAGGAAAAGAAACUAACAAGGAUUCCCCUAGUAACGGCGAGUGAAGUGGGAAAAGCUCAACUUUGAAAUCUGGCACCUUCGGUGUCCGAAUUGUAGUCUCUAGAAGUGUUUUCCGUGCUGGCCCAUGUGUGAGUCUGUUGGAACACAGCGUCAUAGAGGGUGACAACCCCGUUCAUAACAUGGACCCCAGUACUUUGUGAUACACUCUCGACGAGUCGAGUUGUUUGGGAAUGCAGCUCAAAUUGGGUGGUAAAUUCCAUCUAAAGCUAAAUAUUGGCGAGAGACCGAUAGCAAACAAGUACCGUGAGGGAAAGAUGAAAAGCACUUUGGAAAGAGAGUUAACAGUACGUGAAAUUGCUGAAAGGGAAACGAUUGAAGUCAGACGUGCGUGAUGCAGUUCAGCUCUGGUUCGCCAGAGUGUACUCUGUGUCUUUGCAGGCCAACAUCGGUUUCACGAGGCGGAUAAAGGCUUGAGAAGUGUGGCAGCUUCGGCUGUGUUAUAGUCUCUUGCUGAAUACGCCUCGAGAGACCGAGGAACGCAGCGCGCCGCAAGGCAAAGCUCCCGGGCUUUUCGCGCUUAGGAUGUUGGUGAAAUGGCUUUAAACGACCCGUCUUGAAACACGGACCAAGGAGUCUAACAUGCUUGCGAGUGUUUGGGUGUCAAACCCAUACGCGUAAUGAAAGUGAAUGCAGGUGGGAUCCUUUACCGGAGCACCAUCGACCGAACCUGAUGUUUACUGAAGGUUUUGAGUAAGAGCACGUAUGUUGGGACCCGAAA
rnacentral:rRNA from 1 species